rnacentral:tRNA from 1 species
GAGGAAAAUCCGUCGACUUUCAAAAUCGUGAGCAAAAG